CUGGAGGACCGGUCGCGCGAGUCCACCAGGAGCCUAUCACACUGUUCUGGCUCGUGCAGCGGCGCUGACUCGGUUGGACGGCCUGCUGCGAGUCAUCAUCCCUGACGAGCAGCAGGGCACCAUCAUCAGUCGCACGCUGCCGGCGCGGCCCAACACGAGCGCCCGAGACAUCUGCAAGAUGCUCGGCAACAAGCUGCGUAUCACCAGUCCCAUCGAUUACGGUCUCUUCAAACUCAUCAACGGCAACGAGACCCUGCUCAGCGACCAUGAGUGUCCGCAGCUGCUCAAGCAGGAGCUGACCGCCAGCGGAACGCACUGUAUGCUCGCCUACAAACGGCUCGAGUCCAAGAUCGCCUGGCCCACGGCGCAGCUCUGAGUGACGUCACGAUGGUGGCUCGCGGCGGCGUCACGGCUC